UGCAGUCGAACGAGAAACGGUCUAGCUUGCUAGAUGCAGUCUAAGUGGCGGACGGGUGAGUAAUGUAUAGCUAAUGUGCCCCUUGGAGAGGGAUAACAGUUAGAAAUGACUGCUAAUACCUCAUACUCCUUAUACCUUAAUGGUAUAAGGGAAAUGUUUUUUCGCCAAGGGAUCAGGCUAUAUGGUAUCAGCUAGUUGGUGAGGUAAUGGCUCACCAAGGCAAUGACGCCUAACUGGUCUGAGAGGAUGAUCAGUCACACUGGAACUGAGACACGGUCCAGACUCCUACGGGAGGCAGCAGUGGGGAAUAUUACACAAUGGAGGAAACUCUGAUGUAGCAACGCCGCGUGGAGGAUGACACAUUUCGGUGCGUAAACUCCUUUUAUAUGGGAAGAUAAUGACGGUACCAUAUGAAUAAGCACCGGCUAACUCCGUGCCAG
rnacentral:rRNA from 1 species